rnacentral:rRNA from 1 species
GACGAACGCUGGCGGCGUGCUUAACACAUGCAAGUCGAACGGAAAGGCCCUGCUUUUGUGGGGUGCUCGAGUGGCGAACGGGUGAGUAACACGUGAGUAACCUGCCCUUGACUUUGGGAUAACUUCAGGAAACUGGGGCUAAUACCGGAUAGGAGCUCCUGCUGCAUGGUGGGGGUUGGAAAGUUUCGGCGGUUGGGGAUGGACUCGCGGCUUAUCAGCUUGUUGGUGGGGUAGUGGCUUACCAAGGCUUUGACGGGUAGCCGGCCUGAGAGGGUGACCGGCCACAUUGGGACUGAGAUACGGCCCAGACUCCUACGGGAGGCGGCAGUGGGGAAUAUUGCACAAUGGGUGGAAGCCUGAUGCAGCAACGCCGUGUGCGGGAUGACGGCCUUCGGGUUGUAAACCGCUUUCGCUCAUGACGAAGCUUUGUGUGACGGUAGUGGGUAAAGAAGCACCGGCUAACUACGUG